AAUUAAGUAGUAUAGUAGUUAGUACGUCGUAUUAUUAUCUCUUAGUAUUAGGUAUUAAGUUAUAGAUGUUCGAUACUAAGAGAGAUACGGAGACCUAGGUUCGACUCCCAGCUUAAUCA